GGGUUAGUGGCGCACGGGUGCGUAACGCGUGGGAAUCUGCCCUUGGGUUCGGAAUAACUCGCCGAAAGGCGUGCUAAUACCGGAUGAUGUCGAAAGACCAAAGAUUUAUCGCCCAAGGAUGAGCCCGCGUAAGAUUAGGUAGUUGGUGAGGUAAAGGCUCACCAAGCCGACGAUCUUUAGCUGGUCUGAGAGGAUGAUCAGCCACACUGGGACUGAGACACGGCCCAGACUCCUACGGGAGGCAGCAGUGGGGAAUAUUGGACAAUGGGCGAAAGCCUGAUCCAGCAAUGCCGCGUGAGUGAUGAAGGCCUUAGGGUUGUAAAGCUCUUUUACCCGGGAUGUUAAUGACAGUACCGGGAGAAUAAGCUCCGGCUAACUCCGUGCCAGCAGCCGCGGUAAU
rnacentral:rRNA from 1 species